rnacentral:rRNA from 1 species
UGGGGAAUAUUGGACAAUGGGGGCAACCCUGAUCCAGCCAUGCCGCGUGAGUGAUGAAGGCCUUCGGGUUGUAAAGCUCUUUUGGCGGGGACGAUGAUGACGGUACCCGCAGAAUAAGCCCCGGCUAACUUCGUGCCAGCAGCCGCGGUAAUACGUAGGUGGCAAGCGUUGUCCGGAUUUAUUGGGUUUAAAGGGUGCGUAGGCGGCCUAUUAAGUCAGUUCUGAAAUAUCCCGGCUUAACCGGGAGGGUGGGAUUGAUACUGAUGGGCUUGAGUGGAAUCGAGGUAGGCGGAAUUGACGGUGUAGCGGUGAAAUGCUUAGAUAUCGUCAAGAACACCGAUAGUGUAGACAGCUUACUAGACUUCAACUGACGCUGAGGCACGAAAGUGUGGGGAUCAAA